AACGUAGGGUGCAAGCGUUAUCCGGAUUCACUGGGUGUAAAGCGCGUGUAGGUGGUCCCGUAAGUUGGACGUGAAAUCUCCUGGCUUAACUGGGAGAGGCCGUUCAAUACUGCGAGACUGGAGGGCAGGAGAGGGAGGUGGAAUUCCCGGUGUAGUGGUGAAAUGCGUAGAUAUCGGGAGGAACACCAGUGGCGAAGGCGGCCUCCUGGCCUGCUCCUGACACUGAGACGCGAAAGCUAGGGGAGCGAACGGG
rnacentral:rRNA from 1 species